rnacentral:rRNA from 1 species
UACAGGGGGUGCAAACGUUGCUCGGAAUCAUUUGGGACGUAAAGCGCACGUAGGCGGUUCGUUAUGUCGGAUGUUGAAAGCCCUUGGCUUAAACCGAGGAAGUGCAUCCGAAACUGGUCGAGCUAGAGUACGAAAGAGGAUCGCGGAAUUCCCGGUGUAGAGGUGAAAUUCGAUAGAUAUCGGGAGGAACACCGGUGGCGAAGGCGGCGAUCUGGGUCGAUACUGACGCUGAGGUGACGAAAGCGGUGGGGAGCAAACAGG